rnacentral:rRNA from 1 species
GGUCUUGAUGUUGUAAAUCUUGUAAGGCUUUAGCAAUUAAUGUUGGGUCGAACAGAAAACCUUCGACUACAACACAGGUUUGCGGAGAAGCAACAAGAUUAAUAAUAAUGAACAAUGUGAAAUGUAAAUGAGUUUUAUCCCUAUAAAGCUUCAAAGGGUCUUUUUGUCCUUUAGUGUCAG